rnacentral:rRNA from 1 species
CAGUAGCCACGGUAAUGCGUAGGGUGCGAGCGUUAAUCGGAAUUACUGGGCGUAAAACGUGCGCAGGCGGUUAUAUAAGACAGAUGUGAGAUCCCCGGGCUCAACCUGGGACCUGCAUUUGUGACUGUACAGCUAGAGUACGGUAGAAGGGGAUGGAAUUCCGCGUGUAGCAGUGAAAUGCGUAGAUAUGCGGAGGAACACCGAUGGCGAAGGCAAUCCCCUGGACCUGUACUGACGCUCAUGCACGAAAGCGUGGGUAGCAAACAGGAUUAGAGACCCCCGUAGUCCCUGUCUCUUAUAC